rnacentral:rRNA from 1 species
CCUACGGGUGGCAGCAGUGAGGAAUAUUGGUCAAUGGACGCAAGUCUGAACCAGCCAUGCCGCGUGCAGGAAGACGGCUCUAUGAGUUGUAAACUGCUUUUGUGCGAGGGUAAACGCAGAUACGCGUAUCUGUCUGAAAGUAUCGUACGAAUACGGAUCGGCUACGUCCGUGCCAGCAGCCGCGGUAAUACGGAGGAUUCAAGCGUUAUCCGGAUUUAUUGGGUUUAAAGGGUGCGUAGGCGGUCGGAUAAGUUAGAGGUGAAAUCCCGAGGCUCAACUUCGGAAUUGCAUCGGAUACUGUUCGGCUAGAGAGCAGUUGCGGUAGGCGGAAUCUAUGGUGUAGCGGUGAAAUGCUUAGAGAUCAUACAGAACACCGAUUGCGAAGGCAGCUUACGAAGCUGCUACUGACGCUGAGGCACGAAAGCGUGGGUAGCAAACAGGAUUAGAUACCCCAGUAGUC